AACGAACGCUGGCGGCAGGCUUAACACAUGCAAGUCGAACGCCCCGCAAGGGGAGUGGCAGACGGGUGAGUAACGCGUGGGAAUCUACCUAGUUCUACGGAACAACAGAGGGAAACUUCUGCUAAUACCGUAUACGCCCUAUGGGGGAAAGAUUUAUCGGAAUUAGAUGAGCCCGCGUAAGAUUAGCUAGUUGGUGAGGUAAUGGCUCACCAAGGCGACGAUCUUUAGCUGGUCUGAGAGGGUGAUCAGCCACACUGGGACUGAGACACGGCCCAGACUCCUACGGGAGGCAGCAGUGGGGAAUAUUGGACAAUGGGCGCAAGCCUGAUCCAGCCAUGCCGCGUGAGUGAUGAAGGCCUUAGGGUUGUAAAGCUCUUUCAGCAGGGAAGAAGCGAGAGUGACGGUACCUGCAGAAGAAGCACCGGCUAACUACGUGCCAGCAGCCGCCGUAAUAC
rnacentral:rRNA from 1 species